rnacentral:tRNA from 1 species
GGAUUGUGGCUCAGCGGUAGAGUGCUUGCCUAGCAUGGAAGGGUCCCGGGUUCGAUCCUCAGCACCA